CUUUUAUCAAGAUUCUUAGCUUCCUUGCAUUGGGUUAGAACAUGUUCUUUUAGCUUGGAGGAGUUUGUUAUUACCCAACUCCUGAAGCCUACUUCUGGCAAUUCAUCAGUCUCAUUCUCUGUCUAGUUUUGUGCUCCUGCCGGUGAAGAUUUGCGGUCAUUUGGAGGAGAAGAGACAUUCUGUUUUUUGGAGUUUUCAGCGUUUUUGCACUGGUUUUUUCUUCAUCUUCAUGGAUUUAUCUACCUGUGAUCUUUGAGGCUUUCAGAUUAGAGAGAAAGAGGCAUUAUGUAUCAGGUUCCUACUACAUCUCUUGUGAAAAUGGAGAAUUAUGAGCUGUACUGAGGAAACAGCAAAACUUUGGUUAAGUGAAUUAUAUAAUUAAAUUCUGCAUUCUGACACUCCAUGAACUUAUAGGAUGUACUGUGUAGUUUACAGAAGAAAGAGCACUGAAUUUAUUUAUGACAGAUAUGCACUUAAAACAGGAAGAUUAUAUUUACUUCUACAUAGCUAUUACAACGUAAUGAAAACCAUAAAACUACAUUACCUGAAUUUCAAAGCUAGGACAUAUUUUCUCUUUCCUUGGCCUUACUGA
rnacentral:lncRNA from 1 species